GAUAAGUCAGCCAGCAAUGAACUCAAGUAUGUUCUAAAUCAAAUGUUUAAUACCAACUUCAAUAAUCAGCUGAUUUUGGAUGAAUGCAACCAGAGGGGUUGGAUUUAUGCUGGGAGGUCCCGAUUAGAGCUCAAACAUCCGUUAGCAGUAUCUGCUGUUACGUGUCUGGGGGAGCAUUCUGAAGAAUCCCCCGCAGUCCGGAGAUGGAACCGUGCAUGAAGGAAGACACGCAAACUCCACUGCGGCUUUAAAACGAACAUGAGGUCAGCCACGCUGGCAGCGAUGCAGGACGUCACUGACAUCUGCUGUUCACAUGCGCUCGGCUCAGCUGCCUGGAGAUGGAUCAGAAGUAAGAAUCAUGUCGUGGACCUUUCUGAGAGGAAAUAGGAGACAUUUAACUUAAAUGUUUGAUUUGAAUUUUGAGUAAAGAUAGUGGUUUGAAGGACCAAUGUCUAAAACAGGAGAUGCCACACUUCAUUUCAAAACCAAAACGGAUUCUAUGAAAAUGUCAUUUUUUUAAGUUAUAUGUUCUUAUUUCCAACUUGACCUAACUUCUCUGGUUUGUCAUUUUUCCUUAUAGAUAAUUUUUCUUUUAAUUGUUCAUGGAGGGGCUGAACAGUGGCCCUGGUUCAAAUCCCAGCAGGGUUCCGUCUGUGUGGAGUUUAAUGUUCUCCUCUUUCAUGUAAUGGUUUUUUCUCACAGUCCAAAAACAGCUUUAUUAGGUUCAUUGCAGUCUGUAAAUUGUCCCUUGGUGUAAACCUGAGAGUGUGUCUCUGACUGGUGACCUGUUCAAGAUGAGCUCCACCCUCAGUCACUGGGUAGGCUCCAGCAACCCAGUGACCCCAAGCUUCUGAAGAUGGAUGCAUGGAUGGUUCUUGGGUCAUUUCACAAAAAAAACAUUAUUUUCCUCAUUCAUGUGAUGCGGUCCCCCGUGACGAAUCUCCAUAACUUUGGAAGGAAUAUGUGAUGGGAUGGUUGGGGAAUUUCUUUAGUCUCUUUGAAGUAAUGAAACCUCACAGCCUCUCAAAAUCCUCAGAAGACUUCCUCCAAAAGCCUUGAAAGUGUUGUGGCGUUGGCAGUGCGGGUCUCAGGCUACCAGACACAUUUGUCUUUUCUUCUAAUUGUAUUGAUAAAGGCCAAAGGUCCAAUCUUCUGCUGUAGUUAGAAUUUAAGGUGGAAUCUUCAAAGACUCAUGAAUGAUCUGAAUAUCUGUAUAUUUGAUUCAUAGAAAUCAGAAAUGGUCGCAGAGCUAUUGUUUUAUAUUUCACUCUUUUGGUAUGUGAUGGAAGGCAACUGAGCUUGUCUAAUAAAAACUAGUUCCAGUAGAUGCCCCCUGGUGGUGGAGAUCAGUCCUGCAACUAUUAAAUCACCAACUACCAUGUCUCGAAGUUGAGUCAAAUCUUCUUCCUGGAAACGUUUUCCUGCUCAUCCAAGUGGCUUCAUCAUUCACAAAAAACUGGACUUGUUCUGGAUUUGAUCAUCUGUCCAAUAAUGAAGGAAAAUUCUGACACCGACCAAUUCACUGAUAACGACUAAUUCUUUGAAGUUACAUACAUCAUAAUAAGCAUUUUUAAUUUAAAACAUGUUAUUUUAAAGCCAUGGUUUCCCUGUUUUCACAGUGUUUCAGUAACAGAACCUGUUGUAAUGAUGUUCAUGUGUUACUUACUUUCUGUGAAAGAGGUGAUCACUUCCAAAAUUCAUUCUUUGUCCAAACAUUUCUGAUGUUCAACAAUUUUGUUUCAGUGAUCUGAUAUCAUCUUUAUCCUCCUGUGCAGGACGGGGGGGGGGGACCCAAUCCCCCUGGUGGUUGAUGACAGGCACAUUCCUCUUUAUGAACUGGGGUUGAUCUGAAUGGACUUUCGAGAAGAAUGGGCAUUUGGACAGAAUCUGUACAGUAACAUCGUCUACAGACAGAUGAAUGCUUCUGAGCAUCUGACAUUUUACACACAUCUCCAUCUGUGGAGGAGCCCUAACCUUAUCCCUGUUCAGUAGCGGUUUUAGCCACGGACAAUGUGGGUAGCUGCCCGGGGCGCCGAUUCAAAGGGGGCGGCAUCUCAGCGCUGGGGGGAAAAAAUAAUCUGCGCAGCUAUGAUUGUUUACUACCUGUUAUGGUUUGAACGACCUGAAAUCAGCGAAUUGGCGCCCUCUGCUGGUGCGCGCCCCUGUCUGCUGAGCAGGAGACGGGCAGGUGUGAAGAAAAAGGGAGGGGCGGAGGGACAGUUCAGCUGCGGGUUUUUUUUUUAAACUUUAUUGAACAAAAUGCAAGUAUACAACAUGAAGAACAAUCAAUGCAGUAUACAACAUACAAUCAGUAUACAACACAGAUAAUGUUAAACAGCCAGGGGUGUCGAUUCAUUAAAUAUUUGCAGAAUGUUACAGAUUUCAAUAGUUCGGAGAGCCUUUUGUUGGAGGAAAAGUAUAUUGAUUUUAUAUAAAAAGUUACAUCUUUAAUGAAUUGUGGGAAGUAUGGUGUUCUAUUAGUAAAUUUACAUUUAUGUAUGUAGAAUGUUGUCAG